rnacentral:rRNA from 1 species
UACGGAGGGGGCUAGCGUUGUUCGGAAUUACUGGGCGUAAAGCGCACGUAGGCGGCUUUGUAAGUUAGAGGUGAAAGCCCAGGGCUUAACCCUGGAAUUGCCUUUAAGACUGCAUCGCUAGAAUCGUGGAGAGGUGAGUGGAACUGCGAGCGUAGAGGUGAAAUUCGUAGAUAUUCGCAAGAACACCAGUGGCGAAGGCGGCUCACUGGCCCGAUACUGACGCUGAGGCACGAAAGCGUGGGGAGCAAACAGG